CACAGUGUAGCAAUACAUGGGUGGCGACCGGCAAACGGGUGCGGAACACGUACGCAACCUUCCUUCAGGCGGGGAAUAGCCCAGAGAAAUUUGGAUUAAUACCCCAUAAUAUUUUGAGAUGGCAUCAUCUUAUUAUUAAAGCUACGGCACCUGGAGAUGGGCGUGCGGCUGAUUAGGUAGUUGGCGGGGUAAUGGCCCACCAAGCCUACGAUCAGUAGCUGAUGUGAGAGCAUGAUCAGCCACACGGGCACUGAGACACGGGCCCGACUCCUACGGGAGGCAGCAGUAAGGAAUAUUGGUCAAUGGACGCGAGUCUGAACCAGCCAUGCCGCGUGGAGGAUGAAGGUCCUCUGGAUUGUAAACUUCUUUUAUCUGGGACGAAAAAAGGGUUUUCUAACUCGUCUGACGGUACCAGAUGAAUAAGCACCGGCUAACUCCGUGCCAGCAGCCGCGGUAAUACGGAGGGUGCAAGCGUUAUCCGGAUUCACUGGGUUUAAAGGGUGCGUAGGCGGGCAUUUAAGUCAGUGGUGAAAUACCUGAGCUUAACUUGGGAACUGCCAUUGAUACUAUUUGUCUUGAAUGUCGUGGAGGUUAGCGGAAUAUGUCAUGUAGCGGUGAAAUGCUUAGAUAUGACAUAGAACACCUAUUGCGAAGGCAGCUAACUACGCGAAUAUUGACGCUGAGGCACGAAAGCGUGGGGAUCAAACAGGAUUAGAUACCCUGGUAGUCCACGCCCUAAACGGUGAUUACUCGACAUUAGCGAUACACUGUUAGUGUCUGAGCG
rnacentral:rRNA from 1 species